rnacentral:rRNA from 1 species
AUGGCAAGCACCCGCAAAGAGCUGCGCUAUCGCGCGCAGGCGUGGGGGAGAACCCGCAGCGAGCUGCGGUAUCUAGCACAGGCAUCCGCGAGGCAAGGACGAACUGCGCCGGCGCCUGCAGACGUGGACGAGAACCGGCAGCGAGUCGCAGUGGCUCGCUCGGGCAUCAGCGUGGGUGAGCACCGACGAAACGGAUAA